UGAACUAAGUAAAGUAAAGUAAAGUAAACUUUAUUAGAGUCUUCUUCUUUUUCUUUGGUAAAUGUACGUACAAAUCGAAUGGUUAACAUGUUUAACUUAGAACUAUAGUCGUCUUGUUCUAUUAUACAGUGAAGUCGUAAAGAUAUGCUACUUAGCGUAAUAUGAGAAUGUAUUAUUUUUCGUGCAAGGUGAAAAGAGAAAAUGAGGCUUGCUCCCGGCCUCCGCUGAUACGAGCAGCGCUUUGACGUCUGCAGUAAUAAUAAAUAAGGAAUCAAAACAAACUAAAAAACUAAAUAACAAAGUGGUCUGUUAAAACAGUGUCGAACAGAGGGUAUAAAAGUGAUAGUUUUUAAAUAUAAUUGUAUGCUUAAUGUAUAGUUUAUCACAGUUAAUCGAGUGCUCAAAGAGCUUUUUUUUUAUGUGUAGUAAAAUAACAUUAUCACAGAUAAAUGUAUCAUAUAAUAAUAAUCGAGUGCUCAGUGAGCUUAUAUGUAAAAACAAUUAUAUGGAACCUUAUGUGCCAGACGCGAUUUUUUGGUAGAAUUGUGGCAAGUUGUGGUCAAGAAGGCUUUCAGGCGUUUCGUUCAAAAUUCCUACA
rnacentral:sRNA from 1 species